rnacentral:rRNA from 1 species
CGGGACGGGUGAGUAAUGUCUGGGAAACUGCCCGAUGGAGGGGGGUAACUACUGGAAACGGUAGCUAAUACCGCAUAACGUCGCAAGACCAAAGAGGGGGACCUUCGGGCCUCUUGCCAUCGGAUGUGCCCAGAUGGGAUUAGCUAGUAGGUGGGGUAACGGCUCACCUAGGCGACGAUCCCUAGCUGGUCUGAGAGGAUGAUCAGCCACACUGGGACUGAGACACGGCCCAG